rnacentral:lncRNA from 1 species
AAAAAAACCUCAUCACUAUUAUGGUGCAUUGUGCAUGGAACUUACUUGAGACAUGCUUAUUAAGACAACCAAUUAGAAGGCCAAUUUGUCUUCCUUGUUUAUCCCAUUGAUUCAUACCUCAAUGUGUUUUUUUAUGAUAGAUAUGAUUUGACCAAUUUUUAUUAGAAUGUGAUUUGACCAACAAAAUAAAGGUUACAAACUUUUGCUCUUUUUCUACAAUUAUUGAGUUUAUGUAUU